rnacentral:rRNA from 1 species
UACAGAGGGGGCAAGCGUUAUUCGGAAUUAUUGGGCGUAAAGGGCGCGUAGGCGGCUUGGCAAGUGGAUGGUGAAAUCCCUUGGCUUAACCGAGGAACUGCCAUCCAGACUGCUUUGCUUGAGGCCGGGAGAGGUGAGUGGAAUUCCCAGUGUAGCGGUGAAAAUGCGUAGAUAUUGGGAGGAACACCAGUGGCGAAGGCGGCUCACUGGACCGGUUCUGACGCUGAGGGCGCGAAAAGCGUGGGGGAGCAAAACGGGG